rnacentral:rRNA from 2 species
GAGCGAACUGAUUAGAAGCUUGCUUCUAUGACGUUAGCGGCGGACGGGUGAGUAACACGUGGGCAACCUGCCUGUAAGACUGGGAUAACUUCGGGAAACCGAAGCUAAUACCGGAUAGGAUCUUCUCCUUCAUGGGAGAUGAUUGAAAGAUGGUUUCGGCUAUCACUUACAGAUGGGCCCGCGGUGCAUUAGCUAGUUGGUGAGGUAACGGCUCACCAAGGCAACGAUGCAUAGCCGACCUGAGAGGGUGAUCGGCCACACUGGGACUGAGACACGGCCCAGACUCCUACGGGAGGCAGCAGUAGGGAAUCUUCCGCAAUGGACGAAAGUCUGACGGAGCAACGCCGCGUGAGUGAUGAAGGCUUUCGGGUCGUAAAACUCUGUUGUUAGGGAAGAACAAGUACGAGAGUAACUGCUCGUACCUUGACGGUACCUAACCAGAAAGCCACGGCUAACUACGUGCCAGC